rnacentral:rRNA from 1 species
UACGGAGGGGGCUAGCGUUGUUCGGAAUUACUGGGCGUAAAGCGAGCGUAGGUUGUGUCGCAAGUCAGCGGUGAAAUCCCGGAGCUUAACUUCGGAACUGCCAUUGAAACUGCGAUGCUAGAAUCCCAGAGUGGGUAGCGGCAUUCCAAAUGUAGGGGUGAAAUCCGUAGAUAUUUGGAGGAACACCGGUGGCGAAGGCGGCUACCUGGAUGGGUAUUGACACUGAGUCUCGAAAGCGUGGGGACCAAACAGG